AUUGAACGCUGGCGGCAUGGCUAAAACAUGCAAGUCGAACGUGCCCGCAAGGGCAAGUGGCGAAAGGGUCAGUAAUGCGAUCGAACGUACCCUGAGGUGGGGGAUAGGGCAGGGAAACUUGCCAUAAUACCCCAUGAUGUCCUCGGACCAAAGGUUUACCGCCUUGGGAGCGGCGAUCGUCCUAUCAGGUAGUUGGUGAGGUAAUGGCUCACCAAGCCGAAGACGGGUAGCAGGUGUGAGAGCACGACCUGCGACAUCGGGACUGAGACACUGCCCGGACUUCUACGGAAGGCUGCAGUAACGAAUCUUCCGCAAUGGGCGAAAGCCUGACGGAGCAAUGCCGCGUGUGGGAUGAAGCGGCUACGCCGUGUAAACCACUGUCAGGGGGUAGGAACAAUGACCGCCCCCAAAGGAAGAGCCGGCUAACCCUGUGC
rnacentral:rRNA from 1 species